UACGGGGGGGGCAAGCGUUGUUCGGAAUUACUGGGCGUAAAGGGCUCGUAGGCGGCCAACUAAGUCGGAUGUGAAAUCCCCAGGCUCAACCUGGGAACUGCAUCCGAUACUGGAUGGCUUGAAUUCGGGAGAGGGAUGUGGAAUUCCAGGUGUAGCGGUGAAAUGCGUAGAUAUCAGGAGGAACACCUGCGGUGUAGACGGCUUUCUGGACCAUUGUUGACGCUGAGACACGAAAGCGUGGGUAGCAAACAGG
rnacentral:rRNA from 1 species